rnacentral:lncRNA from 12 species
CCCCGCAGCUCCGCCGCAGGCGUGCGGGCCCCAGCGCGCGUCCGCCCCGGCGCACCCCGGCCCCAGCACCUGCUCCAGUGUACGUGGACUCCAGUUCACCCUGGCCCCAGCGCACAUCAACUCCAGCGCACGUCGGGCCCAGCGCGCAUCAACUCCAGCGCACGUGGAGCCCAGCGCACAUCAACUCCAACGCACGUCGGGCCCAGCGCACAUCAACUCCAGCGCACGUCGGGCCCAGCGCACAUCGACUACAGCACACGUCGGGCCCAGCACACAUCAACUCCAGCGCACGUCGGGCCCAGCGCGCAUCAACUCCAGCGCACGUCGGGCCCAGCGCACAUCGACUACAGCACACGUCGGGCCCAGCACACAUCAACUCCAGCGCACGUCGGGCCCAGCGCGCAUCAACUCCAGCGCACGUCGGGCCCAGCGCACAUCAACUCCAGCGCACGUCGGGCCCAGCGCGCAUCAACUCCAGCGCACGUCGGGCCCAGCGCACAUCAACUCCAGCGCACGUCGGGCCCAGCGCACAUCGACUACAGCACACGUCGGGCCCAGCACACAUCAACUCCAGCGCACGUGGGCCCAGCGCACACCAGCCCCAGCGCAUCUGGACUCCAGCGCACGUCGGCCCCAGCCGGCCCGCAGCGCACGAAAACUCCCUCCACGGCGGAGUCAAAAAAACAAACUAAAAGGAGUUCCAAAGUUCCACAAAAAAAAAAAAAAAAAAAAAAAAAUUCCACAGUGGCGAUUAGCCUUCCCCUUCCCGAAGUAUUUCCUCACUUAACUUUAAGUAUUAAUUCACUUAAAUCCUGUUCUCUUUCUUUUAUCCAGAAAGAACUAGACAAAAAGAAAAAAAAAUUUUUUUUUCUUCUGGUGCUGAAUACUUGUAGAAGGAAGUUCUUGCUGAUGUCCUGUAAAUGGCUUAAGUCAAAACAAAUCCCGUUUGGCUUUGGGGUGCUGCCCGCCCUCCCCCCAUUCCUUGGGCCUUUGCUUUACGUUGACUAG